rnacentral:siRNA from 1 species
ACCGAACCGGGUACGGAUACCCGA